rnacentral:rRNA from 1 species
AUUGAACGCUGGCGGCAUGCCUUACACAUGCAAGUCGAACGGCAGCAUGGAGAGCUUGCUCUCUGAUGGCGAGUGGCGAACGGGUGAGUAAAGCAUCGGAACGUACCGUGUAGUGGGGGAUAACGUAGCGAAAGUUACGCUAAUACCGCAUACGCACUGAGGUGGAAAGCAGGGGAUCGCAAGACCUUGCGCUAUACGAGCGGCCGAUGUCAGAUUAGCUAGUUGGUAGGGUAAAGGCCUACCAAGGCGACGAUCUGUAGCGGGUCUGAGAGGAUGAUCCGCCACACGGGGACUGAGACACGGCCCAGACUCCGACGGGAGGAAGCAGUGGGGAAUUUUGGACAAUGGGGGCAACCCUGAUCCAGCCAUGCCGCGUGAGUGAAGAAGGCCUUCGGGUUGUAAAGCUCUUUCGGCCGGGAAGAAAUCGCACAGGCUAAUACUCUGUGUGGAUGACGGUACCGGCAUAAGAAGCACCGGCUAACUACGUGCCAGCCGCCGCCGUAA